rnacentral:tRNA from 1 species
GUUCCUGUAGUUGAAUACAACGGUGGUUCUUCAAAUCAUUGGUCUCAGUUAAAGUCUGAGUGGGAAUU